rnacentral:rRNA from 1 species
GUCUACAGCCAUACCACCCUGAAUGCGCCCCAUCUCAUCUGAUCUCGGAAGCUAAGCAGGGUUGGGCCUGGUUAGUACUUGGAUGGGAGAAAUAUACCAAAAUAGUAAUAGUGAUUAUCUCUAGUUGUUAAACU